rnacentral:lncRNA from 1 species
AAACAAUCUUAAAAUCUUCCUGUCUUAGAAUAUUCUUUCCAAGUAUUCCUUUUUGUGUUUUUAACCUAUAAAAGAUAAUGGAAUAUAUUUUAUAGGCAGGAUUUUAUCUCACCACCUCACCCUCCUGGCAGUACUCCGUUUAACAGUUGUCAGUUUCCCAAUUUCCAAUUGACAUUGGAUUUAAUUAAACGUGACUGAAAUAUUCCUCAGAAAUUUAGCUUGUAAGUCUAAAUACUGUCACUUUGUGGUUUUUCCCUUUGAUAAGUGGCAUAAUUUCAGAAACCUACCU